ACAACUAACCACAGAUCUAGGAUCAGAUGAACAACUUCUUCUAGGUAACACAACUAACCACAGAUCUAGGAUCAGAUGAACAACUUCUUCUAGGUAACACAACUAACCACAGAUCUAGGAUCAGAUGAACAACUUCUUCCAGGUAACACAAGUAACCACAGAUCUAGGAUCAGAUCAACAACUUCUUCUAGGUAACAAUUAACAACAGAUCUAGGAUCAGAUAAACAACUUCUUCCAGGUAACACCUAACCACAGAUCUAAACCUUGAUUCAAUCCUACUGCGCUUGUAGACAAUAGCACAUUUUAAAGGCCAUGUUACUGCGUUACUGGAGAUUACAUUACCUCCAGUGUUUUCUCAUUGAAUCCAGGCCCCAGGGUUAGUUAAUUCUACCUCCAGUGUUUUCUAAUUGAAUCCAGGCCCCAGGGUUAGUUCAUUCUACCUCCAGUGUUUUCUAAUUGAAUCCAGGCCCCAGGGUUAGAUAAUUCUACCUCCAGUGUUUUCUAAUUGAAUCCAGGCCCCAGGGUUAGUUAAUUCUACCUCCAGUGUUUUCUAAUUGAAUCCAGGCCCCAGGGUUAGUUAAUUCUACCUCCAGUGUUUUCUAAUUGAAUCCAGGCCCCAGGGUUAGAUAAUUCUACCUCCAGUGUUUUCUAAUUGAAUCCAGGCCCCAGGGUUAGCUAAUUCUACCUCCAGUGUUUUCUAAUUGAAUCCAGGCCCCAGGGUUAGAUAAUUCUACCUCCAGUGUUUUCUAAUUGAAUCCAGGCCCCAGGGUUAGUUAAUUCUACCUCCAGUGUUUUCUAAUUGAAUCCAGGCCCCAGGGUCAGUUAAUUCUACCUCCAGUGUUUUCUAAUUGAAUCCAGGCCCCAGGGUUACAUAAUUCUACCUCCAGUGUUUUCUAAUUGAAUCCAGGCCCCAGGGUUAGUUAAUUCUACAUCCAUUGUUUUUCACAAAGGGUUUUAAAAGGACGCUCUAGACAUAACCUCCUUAUUGUUGCAUUCUGACUUUGUGAACAACCAAAAUGUCAAAUAGAGGUUGCUUAUAUUUGUCCUGUUUCAGAUGCAGGUGUGUAACCUGUACAGUGUGUGGUGUGAAAUGGAAAUGUGUUUGUUGCAUAUCCCACGGAGACACCCGUCGGAGUCACGGCCAGGGAUCAGAGUAGCAUAUUCAACUGUUUCUCUGUUUCACUCUGGCAGAAAAUGGACAAGAACAAAGAUGGCGUGGUCACCAUUGAGGAGUUUCUGGAGUCUUGUCAAAAGGAUGAGAACAUCAUGCAGUCCAUGCAUCUGUUUGACAACGUCAUUUAGUGAUACUUCCUGUGGGUGUGGCCGAAAGGACAGGGUGCCCAUAUUUAGCCUCACAGCCUCCACCCCUAGCUCCCCUCUAUCCCCAAACACAGACUCAUUAGGGAUGUCGGGGGUAAACGGUACCCCUCCAUGGAUCUCCACUCUCCUCCUACCUGGGAAGAUCAGACAACAGUUAGAUGUGCAAUAGGUACACCUCCAUGGGUCUCCACUCUCUCAUCCACCUCUAGCCCAUCUCUGCCCCCCAAAAGAAACUCCCCUACCUGGGAAGGUCAGACAACAGUUAGGGGCUCAAAGCCACGCCAUGUUGGAGACCAUAUCACUCAUUUUAUAUGACAUCACAUUCUCACUAUGCAAUAAUGUUAUUGAUUCUCUAAUGACUAGUUUGACAAAAUGGUGGACUGUUAUUCUUGUAAGGCCAAAAGGCUUUAAAUGAAACAAUAAUCUCACUGCUUGGUAUGAACUUGUUAACUGUGAGAUGUAUUAUUAUCAAUCAUCAACAUUGUUCCAUUUCUCAAUGUUCUGGAAGGGAAUCCCCUGGCUGACGGAAUUACCCACAACCCUCCAAUCAUCCAUAUUGUGUCCUAUUUACCUCAACAGAAAUAUGGUCGGGUCUGUUUAGUUUUUUUUGUGCGUGACUUCUGGUUAAGCGCUUCCGGCCAAUAGUUGGGAGCUAGCUAGCUAGCUAGCUAACUAACUCAGUAUCGCUUCUCGCAACUUUCCAAACAUGGAUUCACAUAAAUGGUAAUUUUAUGUUCUGUAAGGGGUUGCCACGGCAACUGUCAGAAACGGAAACUGUUCAUGGAGCAGGAGUGUUUUGACCACCAAACUUUUUUGAGGCGCCUUUUGAUUUGCACCCACCUCCUAAGGACGAGGAGUCUCUUUGGCUUUGGCUCAAAGCAUUGAAAAGAUGCUGUGAAGAAGUCAAUGGAACUCAAUCAAAACAAUCGAAUUGCCAUGGAAACGCGUGGGGGAAAGAUGCCAUGGGGGAAAGAUCCCAAAUCUCCUCAUUGCCCCCCAGCAAAAUGAACCUACAUUUAGGCGUGUUAUUAUUUACAGUAUAGAGUAUGUGUACUAUGUUGUGGUAAAAAUCAGAGUUUAACUCUUGUAUGGAUGUCAACCACAGGAGGUUGGUGGCACAUUAAUUGGGGAGGACGGGCUCAUAGUAAUGGCUGAAGCGAAAUCGUUGGAAUGGUAUCAAAUGCAUCAAACACAUGCGAUUGAUGCCAUUCCAUCCGUUCCAGCCUUUAUUCUGAGCCGUCCUCCCCUCAGCAGCCUCCACUGAUAUAGUGUAUUAAUACUCACUCUGUUCCAUCCAUUAUUAUGAGCCUUCCUCCCCUCAGCAGCCUCCUGUGAUGUCAACCCCAAUGUUCAGGUCAUCGUCACCAACCACCAACAUUAGUUAAAAACUACUUUGACUACACCACUGAUUUCUGUAUGCUAGCUAUGCUACCAGCUUAUAUGAAGGUGAGUUAGCAUUUAUCAGUCACUCCUUCUAAACCUGAAAAGGUACAACUCCUAAAUGAAAUGAAAUGAAAUAAAUAAAUCCAAAUCAGUCUUUAGUAACCACAUUGUGGGCCUGUUUAGAAUGCUUCAAUCAUGACGGAUUGAUGAAUAUACACUUUGUUAUAUCAGAUAUGUUGAAUGUCUUCUUAUGUCCCCCACGGUCUGCGUUCCAUUGACCUCUUUACAGCAUCUGCAGUGUCUGCAUGAUGUGUGUUAUAAAAAGGACAAUAAGUAAUAUUUAUUGUGGUUGUGUGUGUACUGUAUAUGCUGGAGAUUACUCCUUCUGAAAGUGUCUGUGUAUAUUUUUGUAAAGACAUGAUGUUGUUGAUGUCUGUACAAACCCAAAUAUAAGUGAAUAAACCACUGUUGCUAUGCAAACAAA